rnacentral:rRNA from 1 species
UGGGGAAUUUUGCGCAAUGGGGGAAACCCUGACGCAGCAACGCCGCGUGAGUGAUGAAGGCCUUUGGGUCGUAAAGCUCUGUCAGUGGGAACGAAGUGUAAGCGGCUAAUACCCGACUUAUUUGACGGUACCCACAAAGGAAGCACCGGCUAACUCCGUGCCAGCAGCCGCGGUAAUACGGAGGGUGCAAGCGUUGUUCGGAUUUAUUGGGCGUAAAGGGCGUGUAGGCGGUUUUGUAAGUCUGAUGUGAAAGCCCCGGGCUCAACCUGGGAAGUGCAUUGGAAACUGCAAGACUUGAGUACGGGAGAGGGCAGUGGAAUUCCUAGUGUAGGAGUGAAAUCCGUAGAUAUUAGGAGGAACACCGGUGGCGAAGGCGGCUGCCUGGACCGAUACUGACGCUGAGACGCGAAAGCGUGGGGAGCAAACAGG